UGGAACAAUGAUGAGUGUGCGUGGGGCAUCUGAAUCAAGUACUCUGUUGAAAUCCAGUCUGUAACCUGAGGUCCUG
rnacentral:snoRNA from 1 species